rnacentral:rRNA from 1 species
CAGUCGCCACGGUAAUACGUAGGUCCCGAGCGUUGUCCGGAUUUAUUGGGCGUAAAGCGAGCGCAGGCGGUUAGAUAAGUCUGAAGUUAAAGGCUGUGGCUUAACCAUAGUACGCUUUGGAAACUGUUUAACUUGAGUGCAAGAGGGGAGAGUGGAAUUCCGUGUGUAGCGGUGAAAUGCGUAGAUAUAUGGAGGAACACCGGUGGCGAAAGCGGCUCUCUGGCUUGUAACUGACGCUGAGGCUCGAAAGCGUGGGGAGCAAACAGGAUUAGAGACCCCAGUAGUCCCUGUCUCUUAUACC